rnacentral:rRNA from 1 species
AACGUAGGAGACAAACGUUAUCCGGAGUUACUGGGCGUAAAGGGCGUGUAGGUGGUUUUGUAAGUCUGGCGUGAAAUUUUUCGGCUUAACCGGGAAAGGUCGUCGGAUACUGCAAGGCUAGAGGACGGUAGAGGCGUGUGGAAUUCCGGGUGUAGUGGUGAAAUGCGUAGAGAUCCGGAGGAACACCAGUGGCGAAGGCGGGUUGCUGGGCCGACACUGACGCUGAGGCGCGAAAGCUAGGGGAGCGAACGGG